AACCGUAGGAGGUUGGCUGCCGGCCCCAAGGAGGGAGCAGGCCCCCUUGGGAAAAGGGCCUCAUCUGCUGCCACCCACCCCCAGUUUCCUGUCUCAGCCUGGGCCCUGAAGGCCCCAGCAGGGUUGGGAGAAGAGGCAAUGAGCUGGGCACAGAAGGAAUUGACGCUGAUGCCCCUGUUAGCAGCCCGCCACUGCACGGUUCCCACCUUUUCUCCCCCUCCUUCCCUCACCACUGCGCCACCACCACUGCGGGUGGGUGGUGGAUCGGAUCGGGGCCUGCUGGCUGGAGGGAGGGACAGGGCGUAGGAGGUUGGCUGCCGGCCCUGAGGCCCUCCUGGGAAAGGGUCUGUAUCUACCACAACCCACCUGCAGGAGGUUGGUCAGCAGGAAGAGGUUGGCUGUGGGAGCGUACUGACCACCAGGGGGCAGCUCCUGUGUUGAAUGUCUGCCCCCUGUUGGUCAGUGCACGUCAUAGCGACUGGUCGUUCCGAUUGUUCUGGUUGUUCGGUUUUAACAGUUGCUUAGGCUUUUAUGUACAUAGAUUAACUGUACGAUGAAGUCUAAUUCAAUCCUCCAUCAACCAUGGGAGACUGGUGUUAUGGAAGGAUUGCUAGCUUCCCACAGUAUCCAUCCUCCUGUCAUUUAGCUGGCUACUUGGCUGCCUGAAAUAAAGACCACAGUUCCCAACCUCCCUUGCAGGUAGGUACAGCCAAGGACUAAGUUCUUAUUAAAGAGAUGUCAGUGAAAGUGCUGUAUGCAACUUUUUUUCUUUUUUCUUCUUGGCUGGAAUAUAGUUGUGGUAACUGAAGCUAGAGCAGCCAUGUUGGACCUCACAGGAAGAUGCAGGGUGGUGGAGCAACCCCCCUAGGAGAAGUCUGGGACCCAGUGACUAUGGAAUGAUCAUGCCAACCCUGGUCUGCUUACCUUCAGACCUCAUAUACAUGUUCAGGAAACUCUGUCUUGUCUAAGUUACUGUUACUUGUGUUUUCAGCUGAAAGUAGUCCUAAUGGAUACGCCUGAGCUGUUCUGUCCCAGUGGAGAUGUGCUAAAACAGUUAAUGGCUCUGCGCCCAGACCUGACCCCUGCAGAUCCCAUUUGCAAUGACCAUCACAGGCAGAUGGAUCACCACCACAGCUAGUAACCCCAAAGAUGGCCCAUCAGUCAAAUCUGCAAGUUUGAGAGUUGGCUGAGGAGCUUCUGACACCUGGAAGUCACGGGAGCUGUUCUGAAGGCACUGUGAGGUCAUAGGAAUCUGAGUCACAGGUCACUUCAAAGCGCAUGCUCUUGCUUACGCGCUGAGAUGACACAGACCUACUUGGAAUGCUUUAGAAAGCCGCCAAGCCCUUCCUGCUCUCCAUCUUUCCUUUGCUGAUGUCUGCUCCUACUUCACUUAUUACAUAUUUCAAACUGGCACCAGGAAGAGAUGACACUGCUUUCAUUGCUAUAC